rnacentral:lncRNA from 1 species
GGCCAGGGACUGAAUCCACACAGCAGCUGUGGCAAUGCUGGAUCCUUAAUCUGCUGAGCCGCAAGGGAAUUCCUGUGAGUUGGUUUCUUUCUAUGCUGGUCAUAUAAUUGUUUAGAGUUGGUCCACUUCGGUGGGAGCAUAUUGCCAUUUUCCACAAGUGACAUGAGCUCCUGUUUGCUCAAAGAGAAUAACCUUGCUACCUCUACGCACCAGGGGCCAAGGAGAAGCAAAUCUCAGCCAUGACUGGCAGUGAAUUUUCUGCCCCGUCAUCAAAAUAUGGACUAGCAACAGAUUGAACUUGCUUUUAGGGAAAAAAAUCCAUAAUGGGAUAUUUCCUGCACUUAAGCAUUGGAUCUGCAAAUUCAUACACAUUAUACUUCCAUCAUGAUGAGCCAGGUACUUACGAGGCCCAGGAAGAAAAAAAAACUGAGCCUCAGAGAAGUUACGCAACUCAGGAGAGCCAGGUUCCAAAGCCUGUCCUACCUGAGGCCAAGGCUCUACUUCUACAAUAUGACAGUCCCUUGACUAGUACAUGUGGGCCAUGCAUCCUUAAAGUGCUAUCUUUUCCUUUGCUAUUAUAUGUACACCUCUAUUUACUCAGAAGGUGGUAAUGCUAUUGCUGCCAUAUGAGAUUGUUAUACUGAGGAUUAGAUGAGAGCAUGCAUGUAAAAUGUCACAUGGUGCCUGGCACAUCAGAACCGUGCCCACCUCCCAUCUGCUUAUUUAUGGUUUCAUGACAAGCCAGGGGGUGCUGACCUGGAUCCUUCCAUGAGCUUCAGCAUGUCAGAAAUCCCUGAAGUUAAAAGGGUUAAGUUGUGGGGCUGCACAAACAUGCGUGUUUACAGCACGGAGUCGAUUCAAUAUCUGGGGGCAUGGAGACAGGGAAUUGACUGAAAAAAUUAAAAUCCUCCCCCAGGGAAGUGUGUACCCAGAUUUCAUUGAGGGGAAAAGACACCUACCGUACAGGGAACCCCUGACAGUUAAAGAGACAGUCAGAUCACUUUAAAACUCCUAUAACACCAAGAACCAUCUUAACAAGUAACCAUUAGUCAGUUUUGCCAUUUGAAAACCAGACUGAAUCUGUUCAGAUUUAAAGAAAAAAAUCACCUUCAGAACUGCUUCCUCAAAUUUCCUGGAUAUGAUGAUAAGGCUGUUUUAAAAAAAAAAAAAUUGAUUGCCCAUAAGCUUCAUUUUCUCCUUCCUUUUCACAUGGUUAUCCUAUAAAAUUUCAAUUUUGAAAAGGGGAAAAUCUUUUGGGAAAAGCUGCAGAUCAGGUUUGAAAACUCUCCCAUACUUGUUCAAAGUCCUACACAUCCUAAAUAAGAACAAGGGAAGUUAUCGGCAGCUUAGCACAUUGAUUUUUAUUUGGGAGUUGCAAAAUAGCUGUCUAUUUUCUUUUCCUUCCACACUGUGUUUUGAAAGUGUAGAGAUGGCACAGAAAAAAAUCCAGAUUUUUAUCUUCCCUUCAAACACUUGAAUAUCUGUCAACACGCCAAUACUAGGCCCACAUUCUCAAGCAGCAACAAAUGGCAGGAGCUUGGGGCGGCUGCCCUACUGCACUUGCUGUCCAAUAUGCCACAGUCCCCACCCUUCUUUUAUGCUAGCGUAAGCCCACUUUUCUCACUUAUGCCUCCUGCAUUUGAAUUUGUGAUCCCUGAUACAGAUCCUGAGAAGGGUUGUGAGAGCAGCCUUCAAAUGCAGAACUGGGGUUCAUCCACCUACCUAGCAGUGUCUUAUGAACUAAACUGCGGUUUAGGUGGUGCUCUGUGGAGGUCUUUUAGCCUCAUCAGCUCUGAAUCUUGCUAGAAUGACAGCCCAGGAAAUAAGGAGCAGUAUUAUCUGUGCAGCAGUAGCAAGUUAGAUUAGGGAGGUAUUGACAAGUGAAUUGGUUUUUCCUAGAGCCCCACACAUGUUUGCCUGAUACCAAUGUGGAUGAUCAUUAGCUGAAACAUUUCUUCAUUGACAGUUGAAGUUCAGGUUUGAAAACCUGCCCACCCUUGUUCAAAAUUCUAAGCAUCCUAAAUAAGAACAAGGGACAUUAUCAGCAGCCUAGCAUAUUGAUUUUUAUAUGGGAGUUGCAACAUAGUAACUUGAUUUUAGGGGAAAAAAUAGACAUUGAGAGUAGAAGAUAAAUUUGAAAUGAGAUUGUAUAUGCUUCCUUCCACAAAACAGGACUCUGAUAGCACUGAACACUGAAUGAGCAUUUUCUUCCCAAUUUGUUUAUUUACCAAGGACCCUUGAGUAAUAUCUAUUGGAGAGAGAGUUAGAAUAAAAAAGUAAGUAACACAUGGUUUCCUCCCUCAAAGAGCUUUCAUACAGGUGGUGAAACCUGACAUGAAAAUAAGUAAGUGGGGGUUCCCAUUUUGGUGCAGUAGGUUAAAGAUCUGGCAUUGUCUCUACAGUGGUUAGGGUCACUGCUGAAGCAUGGGUUCGAUCCCCUGCCUGGUGUAGUGUGUUAAGGAUCCAGCAUUGCUAUAGCUGUGGUGUAGGUCAUAGCUCCACCUCAGAUUCAGUUCCUGGCCUGGGAACUUCCCUAUGCUGCGAGUGCAGGAAAAAAAAAAAAAGAAAGAAAGAAACGAAAUAACAAAAUAUAAUUUGGGGUAGAUGGACAUAAGAAUGACUCAGAGAAAAGAUAGAUGAGGUAGAGAGAUGGGCUGGAUGCAAAAAGCAGGGGCAAAUGGGGUAAGCCUGUAAGAACACUCCAGAGAAGAAAUGAAGAGAGGUUGAACUAGAUUAGAACAAAGCCUUCAGAAGGAAAGAAAAUCUUAAUACACUUAGUGGAAGGCACUCAGGAGCUCACUGCUUCAAAGCCCAGGACACCCAAGCUCCCACAGGAAAACUCUGGUCAAAUUUCAGUGGAGGGGGUGAAAGUGUGGUUCUUUGGCCCCUGUAGACCUGACAAUCCCCCCAGUUACCAUAUUUGCUCUCCAGUUCACCACAGUCCCCACCAUUCUCUAAUACCAAGUACCAAUCCUCAUCACUCACCAUCCAUAUUUAAAAUAACCAUACUUAUUUGAAACUAUGGUUAUUUUAACAAUUUUUUUUUUAAUAAUGUCUUUUUGGAGUUCCCGUCAUGGCUCAGUGGUUAACAAAUCCAACUAAGGAACCAUGAGGUUGCAGGUUCGAUCCCUGGCCUUGCUCAGUGGGUUAAGGAUCCAGCGCUGCCAUGAACUGUGGUGUAGGUUGCAGAUGCGGCUCGGAUCCUGCAUUGCUGUGGCUGUGGUGUAGGCCGGUGGCUACAGCUCUGAUAUGACCCCUAGCCUGGGAACUUCCAUAUGCCACGGAAACAGCCCUAAAAAAGUCAAAAAGACCAAAAAAAAAAAAAAAAAAAAAAAAAAAGUCAUUUAUCAAGGCCCAGAACAAAUCACUCUAUUUCAUCCUGAAAUGUCAUUCUAUACGAGGCUUCCUGGACAUCCGCAUGCCCGCAUCCCAAAUUUCCACCCUUCUGUGUUCCAAAAGCAAUUGUACUAGGCCUGUUUUCUAGCAUUUACUGUACUGUGUUAUAGCUACUCACUUAAAUCUCUCUCAUAUCAGCCCAUGUUCAAAGUAUCUGGCUUAGGCUUCCCUCUAUACCAGCCCCUCCCCAAAAGAUAUGUCCACCCCGAAACUGUGAAUGGGAUCUUCUUUGGAAAAAGGGUCUUUGAGGAUGUACUUAAGGAUCUUUAGAUAAGAGCAGCCUGCAUUAUUCCAAUGGGCCCUGAAUCCAAUGAUAUGUCCUUCUAAGAUCAAGAAGAAGAGAAGCCCACAGAGGAGAAGGCCAUAUGAAGGUAAAGGCAGGAAAUGAAGGGGCCAACAGCCUGGAGAAAUUCAAAGAAACAAAGAAGGAGGCUCCCCUACAGCCCCUGGAGGGAGUGCAGCUCCAGCAACACCCACAUUUCUGAGCCCUGGACUCCAGAGUUGGUAGAGGACACAUCUUGGCUGUUCUAAAUCACUCAGUGUGUAGUCAUGUGUUAUGGCAGCCCUAGGAAAUUGAUACAAGCUCUAUUAUCAAUGAGUUCCCACUAUGGUGCAGUGGGUUAAGGACCUGGCAUUAUCUUUGCAAAUGUGUGGGUUUGGUCCCCAGACUGGCAGGGUGGGUUAAGGAUCUGGCAUUGGUGUAGCUAUAGCUCAGAUUCAAUCUUUGGCCCAAAAACUUCUGUUAAGCUGCAGGUGUGGCCAAAUAAAUAAAUUAAAUAUUUAAAAUUUUAAAAGUAAAGGUGGUAAAAUUUAAUGUCAUAAUCAGAUAAAUAGCACUUUCUGCAGUAAUUAAAGAACAAAAAAUCCCUACCUUCCUCCAAGGCCUUACAGAGACAUAGAAGUGGAAAAAUGAGCAAAAAUGAAGGGGAAAUUCCCGAACUGACUCCCAGUUCCCACGCAAUGGUUGGUGCCUCAGCAUUGGUGUCUAAGCUGGUAAUGUCUGCCAGUCUUUACUGGGGCCAGGAAAGCCUCUCUCUCUGCCUGCUGAAGCCUAAGAAAAGCUAUGCCUGCAGAAACCACAUGGCAUAUUUUGUAGCAUCUUUUUCCCCCUGGGAAGGACUCUCUCUCCUCUACCCUCACUCUGUUAAAAUGAGUCUGCUAUCGGCCUUAACAUUUGGUGUUCAAACACAUUUUUCAGAAACAUGUCACCCAGGAAAGUAUGUAACUGCUUGCAUAUUGUUAAGUGAAAGGGGGGGGAAAUAAGCUAAAAAUAGUUUAUUCAGUUCAGUACCACUUUAAAAAAAAAGUUUAAAAUAAAGAAUAGUUAGACAGUAGUGAGGGUUGGAAGAUAAAGAAACUGAAGUGGUAACAGUAACUAUUUCUGGGUAGUGAGAUUACUGGUUAUAUAUUUUUUGAACUUUUCUGUUUUUCGUAUUUUUUAACUGACCAUAUUUUCUAUUAGAUAAAAACAAUACUACUUUAAAUAAAAAUAUAAUGAAAACACAAAAUAAAGGAGAGAGCAUCUUGACUAUUCAGAACCUGAUAUGAGCACUGGUCCAAGAGAUUAACAUUUGCAUACAGGUGGCCCAUAUUAUGAAUAAACAUGUAUUAUAAUACAUAAUUUAGCAUCAAGCCCAUGAUGGAAUGGAGAAAGAAUGGUUAGAAGUUCAAGUUGUGGAAUAAAGAAU